GGAGGAACCAUAUGACGAGUUCUGCCAAUGGAUAUGAACAGAAGUGCUGGUCACUGUUUCCAGGCCUUGAUGGUAAAAAUCCUCCUCCCAGCCCUCCACGUUCUCUAUCUGUCCCCAUCUGCAACUGAAUGCAGAGAAGGAAGGUGUCAUAGAAGAUGCAGAGCCACAUGAUGAAAGGAGCCUGGCUCCCUGGAUGGUGGAACAGUCUCCACAAUGACCCUCAUUGGACUGUGAUGAUCAGGUUCUGAGAUAUGGAUUGGUGUCCAAGUAGUUUAUUGGGAGGUGAUCCCAGGAAACAUCAGUAUACAGGCAAGUGGGAGAGUGAGAAGGAAAAGGGAUGGAUUCCAAUGAAUGGCACAUUAUCUACCAGUUUGUACUGUGGCAGCUGGAGCUCAGUCACACAAGGAAACUCUGGGAGGCAAUACAGGACAUAUCUCAGAGCUAUCCUAACUGAAAGACCUGCUUUCAUCCAUCACUGAUGCAUGAAAUAGAGCACCUUUAAUACAGCACCUGAGACCCCAAAAAGUUAGGCCAAGUUGGUGCAAGAACACAAAGAACCAUGGACUCGCUAAUUUUCAAUAGAUGACCAACUGCCACCUGAACUUCUGAAUGGGUUUUUCUCUGAGCCCACCUGAUAUGCUCUACUUCAGUGGGAGGUGGGCAGUGAUAAGAAGUCAAGAAGACUUGAAUUCCUGCCAACUGAGAGACAGCUGAAGGAAAUGGGAACAUUUAUCUUGGAGAAGAGAAAUAUGGAGGCCUCAAGGACUGGCAUCAGACAGCUGACUCGCUGCUAUGUGCAAGAAGGAGUGGGCUUAUCUUAAGUUGUCCAGAGUGCAGUAGAAAAUGGAAACUCUGGGCAAUCAGAUUUCAGCUCAAUGUAAGUGAUUUCUCUCUAUUGUUGUUUUGUAAAUUUUUGAGAAAAUGGUUUUAAGUGAUAGAAAUAGCAACAUACUCUUUAUAAAAAAUAAAAUCAAACAAUAACAAAAUGUCUAA